rnacentral:rRNA from 1 species
CCUACGGGAGGCUGCAGUGGGGAAUAUUGGGCAAUGGGCGCAAGCCUGACCCAGCAACGCCGCGUGAAGGAAGAAGGCUUUCGGGUUGUAAACUUCUUUUCUGAGGGACGAAGAAAGUGACGGUACCUCAGGAAUAAGCCACGGCUAACUACGUGCCAGCAGCCGCGGUCAUACGUAGGUGGCAAGCGUUAUCCGGAUUUAUUGGGUGUAAAGGGCGUGUAGGCGGGAAAGCAAGUCAGAUGUGAAAACUCAGGGCUCAACCCUGAGCCUUCAUUUGACAUUGUUUUUCUUGAGUUCUGGAGAGGCAAUCGGAAGUCCGUGUGUAGCGGUGAAAUGCGUAGAUAGACGGAGGAACACCAGUGGCGAAGGCGGAUUGCUGGACAGUAACUGACGCUGAGGCGCGAAAGCGUGGGGAGCAAACAGGAUUAGAUACCCGAGUAGUC